UUCUUUAAAAAAAAUGAAAAGAGGAAGAUGGCGGUGAGGUGGAAGGGAGCAAAUUCCACUUCCCCUUACAUAUGGGAGAAAAAUCUACCCUAUCUACGGAGGAACAGAGCAAAGAGCCAACAGUACCCCAGCAUAUAUAAAAAUAAGAGACCAAAGAUUAUAG